GCGUCGGUGGUGUAGUGGUAAGCGUGGUUGCCUCUCACCCCAGUCGGUCUAGGUUCAAUCCUAGUCGACGCC
rfam:Aedes albopictus isolate Foshan contig114724, whole genome shotgun sequence.